AAAGCGGUAAAGCCCCAAACACAUACAGUAGCUCCGCUCGGUUCGUCUCGUCUCGUCUCCUUCCGCAGCUCCUUCUCGCUGACGUCACGCCGUUCGCCUCCGACGCCGCCGACAACCCAUGGAGCCCACGGAGCCGUCGCGUGGCACCAAGCGCCCUCUCACCGCCACCGCAGGCGACGACGACGACGACGGCCGGGAGCGCAAGCCGCGGUUCCCUAAGGGGAAGAAGGCCAAGUACCGCGACGCCGGUGCGGAGGGAGGCCCCUCCGGCAACGCCGUGGACCUCGACAGCAUGCUGAACCCGGAGCUUGCGGCGGAGCGGCGGGCACGGCAGCGCCACGGCCAGCUCAAGGAGGGCGACGACGCCAAGGGAGGUGCCGCUGACGUCAAGGGCUUCGAAGUCCGCUACAACGAUGGUGUUAACUUUGUUGAUGAUGGUAUCCGGAUAGAGCCGUUUAACUUGGAGCGAGAAAGGGAAGAAGGGUAUUUUGAUGAGAAUGGGAACUUUGUGGAGUAUGCAAGAGGCAAUGAGAUUAAGGAUGCCUGGUUGGAUAGCGUGGAAGUUGACCCAACGUAUGCUGCAAAGGUUCAGAAGAAAGGCAAAGAGAAAGUAGAGGAGUUUGAGGACCUCUCUUCUGAUGACAUUGGGAGGCUAAAAAGGCAGAUAGCUAACUUGCUUGAACCAGGAGAAACGAUAAUGCAAGCUUUGAAAAGGUUGAAGGGUACAUCCAAGGAUAAACGUGGAAAGAUGGCUGAGGGGACUAAACGUAUAUUUGAUGAAUUGACUGAAGCUGCCAUGAAGCUAAUGGAGAACGGCGACUAUAAUGUUUACUCAGAUGAUCGUGAGACCUUUGACCGUGAGGCAGCUGGGUAUGAACGUUUGGCACGUGCUCGACUUGGUUUGCCAGAAGUUGAUGGUGUCUCUGAAGACCCAAAGUAUAACCAGACACCAUUGUCAGUACUGGAAAUUGACCAACCAUCAUCUGUACUGGAAAUGGAACUUGGUCCCUCAACUGCCAAUAUAUCUACAGCCACUGCUGCAAUCAACGAUGAUGACAGUAACCUGGACAUGUUUGGUGAUGAUGACAACGAUGAUGCCAAUCGCAGUUCUGAUGCCAAUACUGUAGGUUCAGGUUUGAAUCCUGGAACCUCAGAUGUGAAGAAAGCCGAUAAUGGAAGCGUGGACUCAGACUAUGUCUAUGAUCCAUCUUCAGGUUACUACUAUAGCAGCAGCACAGGCUAUUACUAUGACCCUAACUCUGGAUAUUAUGGUUAUGCAUCUACGGGAACCUGGUAUUCAUACGAUGAGCAAACUGGAACAUACAAAGAAAUUCAGGAUGAACAAACCAGCACGGCCAAAGAAGAGCUGGGAGAUGCCAUCAAGGAGUAACCAAGUUGCUACUACUCUUCUUGUUCUUGAUUGCCAAUGGAACUGAGGUAGUUCAGACUGCCCAGUGUUCUUUAAAGCGAGUUGUAGCUUCAGUUUUUCAUUCAGUAGAUGGCGCUUUGGGCCGACUCACUAACAGUUGGCUUGGUAAAUGUUAUGUGGAGAAGGAGAGUGAGAGGAAACCAGUCAGAUCAUACUGUAGGGUGUAAACUAAAGGAAGUGAUCGACUGCAACUGUACAAUUGCAAUUUUUUUUUGCUCGCUGCGGAGGCGUGUUUACUAACUAUUCCCGUUGUUUCUGUAGAAAUAUGUCACACGAAAAAGAUACAUUACGUCAUUACUACAUCAAUCAUUUUGCGUGUGGAUUGGUAAACUGAAUCGGGCAGCUCGUGAUCGAUGGAGUAGUCAAAGGCCGGGGAGGCAGUCAGGUUCGGAGGUUGGAGACGCAUCAUCAUCAUGGUCAUUCAAUCUGGAAAAUCUAAUACAGUACUCUUUCCGAAAAGGUUGGAACAAAAAAAGGUAUCUCUUUCAGAAACCUCUUUAGAUGGACAACGCCUUCUGGGAACACGGUUAGGGCUUGUUUCGACGCGAAAAAUUUUUCAUGUAAAAUUAAAUGAUGCCUGUAAAUUUCAUGAAAUGUUUUUGUGAAAUUUCUGUGUACUAAAUAAGCCUAUGAAUAUUUUUUACGCUA